rnacentral:lncRNA from 1 species
AAUCAUCUUGACGACUUGGUCCAUUAUUCCUUGAUCCCAGCAUCCUGCUUCCAGCUGUAGCCACUAGGAGACAGAUGUCUCCAGAAAUGUCAGGAGUGUUGCAUGAAGAGGAAAGUCGUGCCUCUAAUUCUAGUAUUCAGAGGAAUGGGAAAUAAUUUUUCUGUGUCGCCUCUCACCACGUUAUACGUUUAUGGAUAUCUAGUGUACGUAUCCUCUGCAUUUUAAAAAUAGUGUGUUUUUUUUCUUCUGAACUAAAUUCUUUAGCAAACCCACUGAGACAAAGGUUUCCCACUUUCUCAUGACUUUGCACUACAAUAAUUGUGAGCAGGCCUACUCAGAAGUAAAUGCCAUGUGCUGCAAAGUGAUGCGCUCCUAGAAAGAAAAGAAAAAUAUUGUGGCACAGUAAUAACGGAUUGACUUCAUUGUGUGCUUUUUAGUGAAUCCUCUUCUUCAAACCCACAUUCAGGAAGCUCACACUGAAAUAAAUUGUUAGUCUUAAAGGUACCACAAUACGAUUCCUUUGUCCCACCUUUCUUUUGUUUUGAUUUUGCCAAAGCAGGCUAAAAGCUUUUCCUCUAAGAACUCCUAGUAACUGUGUAUAGGACUUCAACUUUGCCCUUUCGUGUGCUUUUUCCAGACCAAAAAACACUGAUAUCUAUGAAAUCAAGAGGAAGGAUUUUUAUGCCAGUGAACAUGCCACAGUUACCUGUACCUUCCACAUCCUUCAAGAAUUGUCUGUCAACAGGCAGAUUUGGUGCCAGGAGUUCGGGAGCAACGUUGGAGUUAUUUCACCAGGACUAACUCAACAAGCAAAAUUAUAAUGGCUGUCCUUCUGGAUGGGUGUAUAUGGCUUUUUUACAGAAACUGCUAGAAAGUGUGGUGCAGUGCUCGGAGUGUCAAACUAGAACUGGAGAGAGCCAGGUUCCAAUCUCUGCUCUUCCAUGAAUUUCCUUCAGUGCUAGCCUUGGGCCAAUCACUAUCUGUCACUUUAAGCAACCUUGUCAAAUUGCAAUAAGAAUGAGGAUGAAGAGGGCACUAUGUGUAGUAAGCAACACUGACUUAAUUGCACUAACAGGCAGCACCUGGGUCUUCAGGUGCACCAUAUAGUCAAACAUGUAUUCCAUCUGAAUUCCUGGUAGUGAAGUAGUAGAUCAUUUGUUCACCUGAGGCCACACAGAUCAGUAAAAUGCUAUUUUGGGGCCUAUAACUCCCAGAAUUCC